rnacentral:rRNA from 1 species
GACAGAGGGUGCAAACGUUUGUUCGGAAUUACUGGGCGUAAAGCGUGUGUAGGCGGUCCUCUAAGUCGGAUGUGAAAUCCCUGGGCUCAACCCAGGAAGUGCACUCGAAACUGGAGGGCUAGAGUAUCGGAGAGGUUGGUGGAAUUCUCGGUGUAGAGGUGAAAUUCGUAGAUAUCGAGAGGAACACCGGUGGCGAAGGCGGCCAACUGGACGAAUACUGACGCUGAGACACGAAAGCGUGGGGAGCGAACAGG